UACGAAGGGAGCUAGCGUUGUUCGGAAUCACUGGGCGUAAAGCGCACGUAGGCGGCUUUGCCAGUCAGGGGUGAAAUCCCGGGGCUCAACCUCGGAACUGCCUUUGAUACAGCAAGUCUUGAGUUCGAGAGAGGUGGGUGGAAUUCCUAGUGUAGAGGUGAAAUUCGUAGAUAUUAGGAAGAACACCGGUGGCGAAGGCGGCCCACUGGCUCGACACUGACGCUGAGGUGCGAAAGCCAGGGGAGCGAACGGG
rnacentral:rRNA from 1 species